GCUAAGAAUCUUCCGCAAUGGGCGAAAGCCUGACGGAGCGACGCCGCGUGAACGAAGAAGGCCGUGAGGUUGUAAAGUUCUUUUCGGGAGGGGGAACAACCGUGGCAGGGAAUGGCCGCGGGAUGACGUGAAUCCCGGAAUAAGCCCCGGCUAACUACGUGCCAGCAGCCGCGGUAACACGUAGGGGGCGAGCGUUGUUCGGAAUCAUUGGGCGUAAAGGGCGUGCAGGCGGUCCUGCAAGUCCGGCGUGAAAGACCCCGGCCCAACCGGGGGGACGCGCUGGAAACUGCAGGGCUUGAGUACAGGAGGGGAUGCCGGAAUUCCAGGUGUAGGGGUGAAAUCUGUAGAUAUCUGGAAGAACACCAAUGGCGAAGGCAGGCAUCUGGCCAUGUACUGACGCUGAGACGCGAAGGUGCGGGGAGCAAACAGGUUUAGAUACCCUGGUAGUCC
rnacentral:rRNA from 1 species